rnacentral:rRNA from 1 species
UACGUAGGGUGCAAGCGUUAAUCGGAAUUACUGGGCGUAAAGCGUGCGCAGGCGGCUUUGCAAGACAGAUGUGAAAUCCCCGGGCUUAACCUGGGAACUGCAUUUGUGACUGCAUGGCUGGAGUGCGGCAGAGGGGGAUGGGAUUCCGCGUGUAGCAGUGAAAUGCGUAGAUAUGCGGAGGAACACCGAUGGCGAAGGCAAUCCCCUGGGCCUGUACUGACGCUCAUGCACGAAAGCGUGGGGAGCAAACAGG